rnacentral:misc_RNA from 1 species
GAUGAAGAACGCAGCGAAAUGCGAUACGUAAUGUGAAUUGCAGAAUUCAGUGAAUCAUCGAAUAUUUGAACGCAUAUUGCGCUCUCUGGUAUUCCGGAGAGCAUGCUUGUUUGAGUAUCAGUAAACACCUCAACUCCCUUUUCUUUUUUGAAAUUGGAGCUGGACUUGAGUGAUCCCAACGCUUUCUUCCAAGAAAGUGGCGGGUUGCUUGAAAUGCAGGUGCAGCUGAACUUUUCUCUGAGCUAUAAGCAUAUCUAUUUAGUCUGCCUAAAAAACAGAUUAUUACCUUUGCUGCAGCUAACAUAAAGGAGACUAGUUCUUGUGCUGACUGAUGCAGGAUUCACAGAGACAGCUUCGGCUGACUUUGUAAACUCGAUCUCAAAUCAAGUAAGACUACCCGCUGAACUUAAGCAUAUCAAUAAGCGGAGGA